GCUUAUUCUCAGGGCGGGGUGAAAGUCCCCACCGGCGGUAAAUCAUCUCUUAUAUCCCAUGGAUUUCAAGUUGCAAUCUCAGCGGCUUGCAAGACGCAGGAUAUUCGGUGAAAGCCCGCGAGCGCUCAGCCUGUUGCUUGCAGCAGGUUAGAGGUCAGCAGAUCCGGUGUGAUUCCGGGGCCGACGGUUAUAGUCCGGAUGGGAGAGAGUAACG
rnacentral:ncRNA from 2 species